rnacentral:rRNA from 1 species
UACGGGGGGGGGCAAGCGUUGUUCGGAAUUACUGGGCGUAAAGGGCGCGUAGGCGGUUUGCUAAGUUGAAUGUGAAAACUCUGGGCUUAACCCAGAGCCUGCAUUCAAUACUGGCAGGCUGGAGUUCUGGAGGGGAUAGCGGAAUUCCUGGUGUAGCGGUGAAAUGCGCAGAUAUCAGGAGGAACACCGAUGGCGAAGGCAGGUCUCUGGGCAGUAACUGACGCUGAGGAGCGAAAGCGUGGGGAGCGAACAGG